rnacentral:rRNA from 1 species
AGUGAACGCUGGCGGUAGGCCUAACACAUGCAAGUCGAACGGCAGCACAGUAAGAGCUUGCUCUUACGGGUGGCGAGUGGCGGACGGGUGAGGAAUACAUCGGAAUCUACUUUUUCGUGGGGGAUAACGUAGGGAAACUUACGCUAAUACCGCAUACGACCUACGGGUGAAAGCAGGGGAUCUUCGGACCUUGCGCGAUUGAAUGAGCCGAUGUCGGAUUAGCUAGUUGGCGGGGUAAAGGCCCACCAAGGCGACGAUCCGUAGCUGGUCUGAGAGGAUGGUCAGGCAGACGGGAACUGAGAAACGGUCCAGACUCCUACGGGAGGCAGCAGUGGGGAAUAUUGGACAAUGGGCGCAAGCCUGAUCCAGCCAUACCGCGUGGGUGAAGAAGGCCUUCGGGUUGUAAAGCCCUUUUGUUGGGAAAGAAAAGCAGCAGGUUAAUACCCCGCUGUUCUGACGGUACCCAAAGAAUAAGCACCGGCUAACUUCGUG